GACGAACGCUGGCGGCGUGCUUAACACAUGCAAGUCGAACGGAAAGGCCCUGCUUUUGUGGGGUGCUCGAGUGGCGAACGGGUGAGUAACACGUGAGUAACCUGCCCUUGAUUUUGGGAUAACUUCAGGAAACUGGGGCUAAUACCGGAUAGGAGCUCCUGCUCCAUGGUGGGGGUUGGAAAGUUUCGGCGGUUGGGGAUGGACUCGCGGCUUAUCAGCUUGUUGGUGGGGUAGUGGCUUACCAAGGCUUUGACGGGUAGCCGGCCUGAGAGGGUGACCGGCCACAUUGGGACUGAGAUACGGCCCAGACUCCUACGGGAGGCAGCAGUGGGGAAUAUUGCACAAUGGGCGGAAGCCUGAUGCAGCAACGCCGCGUGCGGGAUGACGGCCUUCGGGUUGUAAACCGCUUUCGCCUGUGACGAAGCGUGAGUGACGGUAAUGGGUAAAGAAGCACCGGCUAACUACGUG
rnacentral:rRNA from 1 species